AUGGUUGAUAAAUCAUUAAUGUGGAUCAAUGAUUUGCAGAACUUGACCUACCAGCUAGACAGCGACCGAAAGAGGUUCAUCCUCAGAUCGUUGCUCUUCUUAAUCAAGUUUGGCAGGACAAACUCAUGGCGCCACAGGUACAACCAUUUGCUUGGAGACUUCUUAGGAGAGCGCUUCCUACAGGUAAGAGAGCAAGUAAAUUCUCUAAACACCUCCAGGUGUGGCAAUACAGAGGAUGAAAUGCACAUGUUUUUUCUUUGCCCUUUCUCUAAGGCAGCCUGGUUUUGCUCACCUUGGUUUAUUAAAACGGAAAUCCUUGCUGCUGUUAACCAUUUUAUUCCUAUCAUGAUCCAAACUUUGCUUAACUCUGGCCAUCCACAAAUUAAUCCUUCUAACUUGUAUACUUUUCUAUGGUGCCUGUGGAAAUCUCGAAAUGAUGCUCUCUUUGCUAGGAAAUUUUGCAGGCCCUCUCAGGUGUAUGCAGCGGCAAACGCAAUCAUACAAGGAACCAAAUUAGGAGAAAUCCCUGCUGAAGCUCAUGCUAUGCAUUGCUUACAGGACCAACUGGUGCAACCGACAAUACAAAAUCCACACUCUUUUUCAGGCAACACAAUCUUUUGUGAUGCUGCGUGGGAAAUACAUCCAGCUCACACUCCUAAACAGGCAGGAAUUGGAGUCUUCAUUCAGGUUUAG
rnacentral:rRNA from 1 species